UAGAGCUAACCCUGACCCUUAGACUCUUGGAAUAAACAGCUAGGAAAACAGCUGCUAA
rnacentral:rRNA from 1 species